rnacentral:rRNA from 1 species
UACAGAGGGUGCGAGCGUUAAUCGGAAUUACUGGGCGUAAAGCGCACGUAGGUGGCGACGUAAGUCGGGUGUGAAAGCCCCGGGCUCAACCUGGGAAUUGCAUUCGAGACUGCAUUGCUGGAGUACGGAAGAGGAAGGCGGAAUUCCCGGUGUAGCGGUGGAAUGCGCAGAUAUCAGGAAGAACACCGGUGGCGAAGGCGGCUCUCUGGGCCUUACCUGACGCUGAGGAGCGAAAGCGUGGGUAGCGAACAGG